rnacentral:tRNA from 1 species
AAGGCCUUAGCUUAAAUUAAAGUGUCUGGGUUGCAUUCAGUAGAUGUUGGGUAGUGUCCUGCAGGUCUUU